rnacentral:rRNA from 1 species
GACGAACCGUGCGAACGUUGUUCGGAAUCACUGGGCUUAAAGGGCGCGUAGGCGGCUUGUCAAGUCAGGGGUGAAAUCUUUCGGCUCAACCGGAAAAGUGCCUUUGAUACUGACAGGCUUGAGGGAGGUAGGGGUAUGUGGAACUUCUGGUGGAGCGGUGAAAUGCGUUGAUAUCAGAAGGAACGCCGGUGGCGAAAGCGACGUACUGGACCUCUUCUGACGCUGAGGCGCGAAAGCUAGGGGAGCAAACGGG